rnacentral:rRNA from 1 species
UGACACGAAUGCUUAACACAUGCAAGUCGACUCGAGUCUUCGGACUUGGGUGGCGCACGGGUGAGUAACGCGUAAAGAACUUGCCUCUUAGUCUGGGACAACAUCUGGAAACGGAUGCUAAUACCGGAUAUUAUGAUUUUUUCGCAUGGAGGAAUCAUGAAAGCAUGAUGCACUAAGAGAGAGCUUUGCGUCCCAUUAGCUAGUUGGUGAGGUAACGGCCCACCAAGGCAAUGAUGGGUAGCCGGCCUGAGAGGGUGAACGGCCACAAGGGGACUGAGACACGGCCCUUACUCCUACGGGAGGCAGCAGUGGGGAAUAUUGGACAAUGGACCACAAGUCUGAUCCAGCAAUUCUGUGUGCACGAUGACGUUUUUCGGAAUGUAAAGUGCUUUCAGUCGGGAAGAAGUCAGUGACGGUACCGACAGAAGAAGCGACGGCUAAAUACGUGCCAGCAGCCGCGGUAAUACGUAUGUCGCAAGCGUUAUCCGGAUUUAUUGGGCGUAAAGCGCGUCUAGGCGGUAAGGAAAGUCUGAUGUGAAAAUGCGGAGCUCAACUCCGUAUGGCGUUGGAAACUGCCUUACUAGAGUACUAGAGAGGUAGGCGGAACUACAAGUGUAGAGGUGAAAUUCGUAGAUAUUUGUAGGAAUGCCGAUGGGGAAGCCAGCCUACUGGACAGAUACUGCAGCUAAAGCGCGAAAGCGUGGGUAGCAAACAGGAUUAGAUACCCUGGUAGUCCACGCUGUAAACGAUUAUUACUAUGUGUUGGGGGUCAAACCUCAGCGCCCAACGUAACGCGAUAAGUAAUCCGCCUGGGAGUACGUACGCAAGUAUGAAACUCAAAGGAAUUGACGGGGACCGCACAAGCGGUGGAGCAUGUGGUUUAAUUCGACGCAACGCGAGGAACCUUACCAGCGUUUGACAUCCUACGAACGGAGCAGAGAUGCGCCGGUGCCCUUUCGGGGGAACGUAGUGACAGGUGGUGCAUGGCUGUCGUCAGCUCGUGUCGUGAGAUGUUGGGUUAAGUCCCGCAACGAGCGCAACCCCUAUCGUAUGUUACCAGCCUUCAGUUGGGGACUCAUGCGAUACUGCCUGCGACGAGCAGAGGAAGGUGGGGAUGACGUCAAGUCAUCAUGCCCCUUAUACGCUGGGCUACACACGUGCUACAAUGGGUAGUACAGAGAGCGGCAAACCCGCGAGGGGGAGCAAAUCUCAGAAAACUAUUCUUAGUUCGGAUUGUACUCUGCAACUCGAGUACAUGAAGUUGGAAUCGCUAGUAAUCGCAAAUCAGCAAUGUUGCGGUGAAUACGUUCUCGGGUCUUGUACACACCGCCCGUCACACCACGAGAGUUGGUUGCACCUGAAGUAGCAGGCCUAACCUUAGGGAAGGAUGCUCCGAGGGUGUGGUUAGCGAUUGGGGUGAAGUCGUAACAAGGUAUCCGUACGGGAACGUGCGGUUGGAACACCUCCUUGGAUCCAUCGGGUACCGAGCUCGAAUUCACUGGCCGUCGUUUUACAACGUCGUGACUGGGAAACCCUGGCCGUUACCC